UGCUGAGCUGCACAAUGAUGCUCUGAUGCUAAGCUUUCAACCUGUUACGUUUCUGACUUUACUGACAAACAUAGCUGGCCAGCUACCUUGCUAACACAGCAAACAGAUAUGAUAAGUAUGAGUGAUGUGACAGUUAUCAGCGACAAGUUUAUAUUAGAGUUAUAUUGAAAAGGAGGGUUGUUGUUUAUUGGAUUUCCGGCAAUGUAUUUCAUAUACUAAUUAGACACUUACUGUGAAGACACUGCUCAGCUGUUAUGCACACUGCAUUCUACUACAUGUGCUGCAUUGUGCUUAGAGUAUUGAAGCUAUAGCAACAGCCCACAUUUCCUAUUAUGACCUACCUGGUGCUGAACUGAGUAGUUUGUUAAGUUUGCUGUUUUAUGUUCCAAAAUGCAAAUGUUUCGUUUUGUUAGUGUUUGUAAUGUGUCUGCUGAUACCAAAAUGAAACUGAUGUAUCAGCUAUAUUGGCCGAUAAAAUCGCCUGACCGAUAAAUCAUCUGGGUUCUAGUUUUUGGUCAGUGAUUACAAGAGCAGUAACAAUUUUAUUCAACAUUCCAAUGACUGAGCUAUUAUGAAGAUUGUCUCUGGGUUGCUGUUAAAUCUCAUGCACAUUUCUGUGCUUCACUAUAUUUCAGGUUAAAGAACAACUUGAACUACUUCUAGUGGCUUUGUUAUGUUUGUGAUCUAGGAAUUGAAAGCUUUCAUACAAAGUCCCACUGCAUGACAGCGUCAGGAAAAUGUAAAUGUAGCAACAUGGUACUCAAAAUUCUUUCGCUUUUCAAUGAUUAUUCAUGCUCAGUGUUGUAUUCUGUAUUUUUUCUUUUUCCUCUUUGACCUCCCACCCCUCCUUCCUCUUCAUCUCUCUCCUUUCUUUACUUGCUGCUGAAAUUGUAAUCUGUUGCUUGUGAUCGGCCUUCUAAUCUUGCACAAACUUCCAAAGUGUACAUCAGGGUGUUUUCUCACUGCUCUGGCAUCUUAAUCAACCCGGGUGAUGUCUCCUUCAACCCUCAACUUCCCCAGGAAACAAAGUAAAGCACUCUUCCUCUUCACUCUGUGUUUUCUUGUUGUGGGAAAAAAAACUUUAAGUUCAGGCAGCAUGGAAGUGGAGAUUUGAUGUCCUUUGGAUUCCUAUGCUUAUUCAUUUUGUUCCAUUUUGAGCACUACUGCGACUCACAAGCCAUACAUCUAAAAGUUUCCAUCAGCAGAUUUGGAGCGAAUAAACCAGGCUACACAAAGUUACGUCAGAAGUGGACAUUAUGCAAGGCUGUAAUAAACAAGACCUGGAGGUUGCAAACCACAAACAAAACCAAUCGCAUGGACCAGACCAUGGAUCUGAGAAAAAUGGAGAGAUGUCUUCAGAAAUGUGUUUCAUGUCUGCAAGUUGCUACCAACCAUGCUUCUGCACCUAAUGGGAAUAUCCGAGAAGACGGCGACAGCGGAAACAGC